UACAGGGGGGGCAAGCGUUGUUCGGAAUUACUGGGCGUAAAGGGCUCGUAGGUGGCCAACUAAGUCAGACGUGAAAUCCCUCAGCUUAACUGGGGAACUGCGUCUGAUACUGGAUGGCUUGAGUUUGGGAGAGGGAUGCGGAAUUCCAGGUGUAGCGGUGAAAUGCGUAGAUAUCUGGAGGAACACCGGUGGCGAAGGCGGCAUCCUGGACGGAUACUGACGCUGAGGCGCGAAAGCCAGGGGAGCAAACGGG
rnacentral:rRNA from 1 species